rnacentral:misc_RNA from 1 species
AACGCACAUUGCGCCCCCUGGUAUUCCGGGGGGCAUGCCUGUCCGAGCGUCAUUAUCCAAUCUCAAGCCCGGCUUGAUGGUGGGUCUCACCGCCCCGGCGGUCGUCCCGAAAGACAGCAACGUGGCCCCGAACGCCGUGGAUGCAGCGAGCUUUCCAAGCACGCGUCCCGGCGUCUGCGGGCGACGUCUCAACCCCAAUCUUAGGUUGACCUCGGAUCAGACAGGAUUACCCGCUGAACUUAA